ACAGGAGAUUGUCUUAACACAGAGACUCUUGCUGGUGACUUGUGACAUUUCUCAUGCGGAUGGAGUGAAGGCGGUAUCGGAAAUUCUGGAUGGACAAGGAACACAAGAACAGUCUCGAUUGUUCGUCGAUUGCCUGAACAGCAAUAAAUAUAGUAUUCGUUUGAUAUCAAAGAUGUCCGGGGAAGCAGUGGAAUUUUUUGGACCUUAAACUACAGCUUUCGUCUGAGACACACAAGACAAGGGGUACCAAUGCGCCAAUUUCUGUGGAUACGCCGGAACUGCACACAGGUUGAUGACUUCAAAAGACACACUGGGGAGCUUACGGAUCAGUUGAGAAACAGAGGAUUUUACCCUAAGAGUAUUAUCUCUCGGGUGUACCAAAGAGCCAAGAGAGCUGAAAGAGAGGAAUUGCUUCAUCCACGGGCUCGACAGGAGGAUGAUAAUCUCAGAUUUUGUGACAUCAUACAAGAAUCAGUGGAAUCGGAUUAAAAAUCUUUUGGUUAAACACUUGGGUAUCCUUAAGUCAGACCCCAAAAUUGCUAAUUUAAUCACCCCUUCUCCGAUUUUUACCGGUAGGCGGGCACGCAACUUAAAGGAUAUUAUGACAAGAAGCCAUUUUUCGGGACCCCCGCGGAGGAAAACUCAGCAUGUGGACUCAUUUCGAUGCAGUGAGUGUUCUGUUUAUCAGUACAUGGAGCCAAGUAGGGCGUUUUCCAAUCCUGGUGAUGACUCUCGACACAAGCUGCGUCACUAUAUUAAUUGUAAGUCACGGAAUGUUUUAUAUGCCAUUGUCAACAGGUGUAAAUUGGACAGACAACGCAGGAGUUGCGUAAGCGGAUUCAGAAACCUCUGUCCACCAUAUCCUUGUCGGAGAGGGGUUUCAGGACAAUGAACGUCGGUGGCAGCACAUUUUCGUACAAGACAUCAAGAUUCACAGAUUUUUUGUUCAUCCACAUAUCAAGCUAAAUUGAGACCAUAAUGAAUGCCGUUUUGAAGCAUACAGGCAUAUUGGGAUCGGGAGUAUCUUUAUUGUCUAUCUUCAAGUGGGAGCAUCAUGGCCAUUGGGCCAUACACAUGUUGGGAAAGGAUCUAGGAAAAAUUACCUAUGGGAAAAGGGAUUUGUGGCUUCCCUGAGAACUAUCGUAUGGACCCUCACAUUUGUUUGACUAGACUCUAUUGUUCCUAUAUGUAAAAUAAUGGACAGAAGGAGAGAAUGUUAUGUCAUAAAGGUAUAUGGGUGCGACUUUUUGCGCAUCCAGGGGAUACAUCCUCUAUUAUUUAAAGUGGUUCCAUUUAUGUGCUAAAUGUUUGAUUUAUAUGAAGUUGGUCAUCAUGUCCUUUAUAGAUUUAUUCUUAAAGGGGUUCUCCGGUGCUUACACAUCUUAUCCCCCGAUCAGGCAUCUUGUCCCCUAUCCUUUGGAUAGGGGAUAAGAUGUGUAAACACCGGAGAACCCCUUUAAGAAUGUGGCUUCAGAUUGUGUGUUCCUCUCACGCAAUACACAGGACUAUGAAUUAAUUAUUCCAAAUUUUGUCUUAGUUUCUCUUUACAUUUUUCACUAGUAGGGGCAUUAUUGUUGCCUUGAAUAGAGCAUAUAUCUUAUGUAUGUACAUCUAUAUUGCUAGUAUUGCACUGAUUGUAAGCGCAUGCGCAUUAUAGGAUAGAGAUGAGGUUUUGCCAAGAGAUGUUACUUGAUAUGCGCAUGCGCAGCAAUUGCAAUGCGCAUUAUGUGGGCGCAUGCAAGCGCAUGGAUGUGGCGCCGUAGUUUUGAGCACAUGCGCAUCAGCAAUAUGAGCUUUGCCACACUUCUGGCAAUCUCCAUCUAACUUUACCCGCCCCACUUCCGGAGGAACAAGGUUUGUGUAUUGCGUGUGGAGGAAUAAACACAUGCCAUGCUGGAUUCGCUUGCUAUUGUUGACCUAUUUUUUACAUUUGGGCUGUUGUUUAUAUUCAAUUGACUAUCAGAGGUUCUGGCAUCCUUUUUUCAUUUACAUGUGUUCAGGACAGUUUUUUACCGUGUAUGUUAUUGAGCAUGAGCUAGGGUGUUGAAAUACGAUUAUAUUCCUAUGCUCUGUGUAUUCAUAUGUGGUUUUAAGUGUUUUUAAUGGUGGUUGAUUUUCCCCCUUUUCGUUUGUCUAUGUGAAUAAAGUCAAUUUAUUAUG